CAACAAUCGAAUCUUUUAUACUAUUAAACUUGGAAAUUAGAAUUUAAAUUCAACUGAUAAUGAAUACAUAUUGACUUACCUUACUAUAAAAUCUAUCAGUUUUAAUUAAUUUCAAGAUAUUUUUCCUAUUUGUUUUUCAUGAUUUGUUUGUAUGAGUCAUCUUCUUUAUUAUAAGUUUACUCUUGAUUUCUUUCUAUGUUUUUCAAUUUGUGGUACUUUUGAAAAAUAUCUACAAAUCUAAUUUGUUAUAUAUAAGAUAUUCAUGGAUGCAAUACAACCUCAUCACUGUUCUUUAUUUUAAAUUUUUCGCUUUUUGUUGCAUCAUCAAAAAUGGCUAAAACCACAAUUCUUGCUAUUUUCAUGGUUGUUCUUGUUUUAGGGACGGUGAUGGAGUCACAAGGACAAGAAAUGUGUACUGAUUAUUCUAAAGGAUCAGCACUUUGCGAAGCUAAACCAUGUAAUGAUCAGUGUGUACGCAAGUAUAAUGGACAUGGCAGGUGCUUAGACACAAUGUGCGUCUGCACUUAUAUUUGUAAAACUUAAUUUUUAUUUGUUACUAAUAAACUAUCAUCAAAUAUUUUUAAAUAAAAAUGUGUGAAAAAGAAUAUCGCAAUUUUCUUA